AGAUUUCCCGCCAGAAUCGAGACAUGCUUACAAACCAGAUACUAUGAUGUUUGACAAGAUUUAUAUUGUGCAUUUAAAAAGAAGAAUAGAAAGACGACAAAGAUUGGAGAAGGAAGCCGAUGAAAUGAGACUGGACUUUACAUACUUUCAUGCUGUUGAUGGACGAAAUUUGAAUCCUGAAAAACUGGACAAACUUGGAGUAAAAAUAUUACAAGGCUAUUCGGAUAUAUAUCAAAAUAGG